rnacentral:rRNA from 1 species
UUGAAAGUAAAAAAAUCGUAACAAGGUUUCCGUAGGUGAACCUGCGGAAGGAUCAUUG